rnacentral:lncRNA from 1 species
AGGAAACCAUGACACAGACGACAUCUGAUGUCCAAAGAGUGUGCAUGGCAGAUUCCAUGAAAUUCUGUGUCUACCAGACAUCCGACACCACAGGAGAGAGGUUUGUUGCAGACUCAAUUUAAUAAAUGCAAUUAUCAGGGCCUAUUCAGUGAUUUUCCAUGAAGUGACCACUUUUACAUAUAGUUUAUUUGCACAAAUCAUGUGGUAAAAUUAUUUAAACAUUCAAAUGUGCUGCUGAGGUAUAAUCAAUUGGACAGCGUGUGUGUUUAAUAUUAAGUUUGUCUCUCAUUUGAUCAGAUUGCUUUACCCUGAGGUAAAGUUUGUAAAAUGGGUCCAGUGCAAGACAUGCAGGGGCUGGCUGCAUCAAGAUUGUGCCGGGAUUGACAUGGAGCCCUUUGACUGUGGCUACGAGGACUCCAUUGAGCAUCCUCGGUAUAACAUAAUUUAUCAAAGAAACAUAGUAUCAGUCAAAAAUACGAGAUGCAAAGGAUGAAAAAUUAGGGCUUGCUCUUUUUCUUAUUUCUCUGCAGGAUCAAGGAUGCCGUUGACAGUGGAAGAAUUGGUGCUGUCUUUUCUAAGACACAGAUCAAG